rnacentral:misc_RNA from 1 species
GGUGGGGUUACGGAGCUAACUUGUCCCUUUGACUGCAAGGACUGCAUGGUGUGUGGUGGGUUAUGAGCUUAGCCCUACUGACUACCUAUAACUGCAAGUGUUGGGGUUUACGAAGAUAAUACUAUUGAAUGACUAAGGCUGCAUGUAGUCUGAAGUUAUUACAGUAAUGUUUUAAAUGGUUUUAUAAAUGUACUAGGUUACACGACCGAUAGAAAUGAAGAAAUGGAGUACGAUGUGUAUAUUUAUAAUGGUUGUGUUUUCAAUACUGAACACAUUUUUACUCUAUCAAUACGCGAAAUCCGAUGAUAAAGUGCGCCCUCAUCGCUCCUUCGGAUUUGACAAACUUUUCGCUUUCAGUUCAGGGAUGAAGCAAAUAAACACGGCGGAUAUACAAGCAGUUCGACGUCUACAAGGUGAUGCUGUAUAUUCUUUUUCAUCGGAAUAUUUACCUAAUAUGCCCCUGAAUAAACUAUCUGCUACUAAGCUAAUAAUGGAAACUGCCGAGAUGUAUACUGAUUUAUAUAAAACAAAGAUAUUGGAUCGUAAAUGCAAUACAUGUGCUGUAGUGACGAGUUCAGGUAGACUACUAAACCAGAGUGCGGGUUCAAAAAUUGACCAAUCAGAUUGUGUUAUCAGGAUGAACAACGCGCCUGUAGCAGGUUACGAAGACGACGUCGGGGCACGAACCGACAUUCGUAUAGUUGGAAAUGUGAACUCGAAGUUUUUGCAGAACCAUUCUGAGGUGCUUUUUCAACCUCCGAGGAAGAACGCCAAGAACAGACCAGUUAUCAUAUUAACUUGGCUCUAUAACGCUACUGUUAAUAUGACGGGACCGGAGAUGAUUGUCGCAAAGAAUCUGUCCAAAUAUUUCCCGCGUUUUCAGUUUUAUAUCCCCACAAAAUUUGCCUUUCUAGUAGUUGAAGAUAUCUUCAGGUUUGAAACUGGUUUUCAAAGGUCAAAACUGAAUACAUGGUUCACAACUGGGUGGCAGACGAUGUUGCUUUCUAUGAGCAUAUGUAAUGAGGUUCAUAUCUAUGGUAUGCCGCAGUAUGAAUUAUGCAGAGAAUCAGAUCCGACUUUAUAUCACUAUUAUGAUAAACAAGGACUGAAAGAAUGUGAAUACUACAAGAAAAGUGAGAUAAACCCAGAUACUGGUCAUUUAUUCAUCACAGAAAAAGCGAUUUUUGCACGCUGGGCAAAACGAUAUAAUAAUAUUCACUUCCACUACCCGUCGUGGAAUUUAUCAUCUGUGGACGAUAUCAAUCUCAACUCGCCGUUUAUUCGAGAGCUACGUUUGGUAACCUUACGAGAUAUUGAACUGUUACGUAAACAGGCAAUACCUCAACGGCACUAUAAAGUUCCAAAAGAACCUUUGUAUUUAAUACUGUUUACUUUCUCUCUUAUAUUCAUCUUAGUUCAAGGAUUGAAAUUCGUUAAAUUAUUGAUACAAAUGUUUGAUGUCAGAAAAAACACAUGGUAGAUUUCACAGAUAAGGCCUAUUAUUAGUUUUGUAUAUCUUUAUUUAGCUGUGGUCGUAGGCUAUGGCUCAUAAUGUUACGGACGUUUCUGGAGUUUCAAUCAUUAACACUAACCAAUCCGGGAACAGAUCUAGGAAUAUGGGCUUGUCAAAAACACGUAUUGUCCCCCACGAAUGUUCGUGUACGUACGUUUACGCUGUCGUUCUGUAUGACUUUAGAAACAAUAUCCAAAGGCCAGGACUUAACGGAUAGGUCCAUUGGAGAGCAGAGCAUCUCCUGAUCAAUACAAAGAGAAAGAUGCUGCCAGUGUUAAUUUGAAAACCUACACCAAAUCGUUUGGUUACUACUCAUAAGCAGUGAACUUGCACUGUUGGUUUUUGUUCAGUAAUGAACUCUGCUGGCAAGAGAUAGCAAAACUCAAGUAUGUAACCAGAUUUAUGCUGAAUAAUUGUUUAUAUAUAUUAUUAUUCAUCAUAAUGUCUUAACCUGCCUUGUGAUCGAUAGAUUUUACUCUUAAACCUGGCACCUUUGAUUGACUAUAAUAAAAGAUAUACAGUAGCUUGACAAUCA